AUCUUUGCGCUUGGGGCAAUGACGCAGCUAGUGAGGUUCUAACCGAGGCGCGUCUAUUGCUGGUUGAAAACUAUUUCCAAACCCCCUCUUCGGCCCGGGCUUGACUCGGGCCGUCGAGAAUUUCUGGAAGGGCUCCUUCUCUGAAGGUAAAGCC